CCUGGCCAAUAAACAAAGAUGAACAAGGGGAACCCAAUUGACCUGCUGUGUUGUACAAAUGAAAGAAACAACCCACUGUAUUCCAGAAACAGGAAAUAAUGUCCAUAAAGAAAGAAAUGUUUCCCGUUUUGUUCCAUCGGUAAUAAAAAUUCAUCACAUGAGUUAUAAUCAGUCUGUAACUUUAUCCACAUGAUGCUUUAGCCUUUGUUCUGUCUCUUUCUUUUCCUCUGCCUGCUCUUUGCCUAGCAAGACUUUACAAUUCCACCGGGAGAGAAGAGGGAGAAAAAGAUCCACUUGAAACUCCGGCUGUACCUGCUCUUUCAUCUCCUUCGUGGAAAAAUGUCUAUCGGCUGGAAGCCCUAGGAGUCUUAAUUUUCAAGGAUUUUAGUUGUAAGAUGUUCAAGGCAUGAGACACACACCACCUAUUCAACCAC
rnacentral:lncRNA from 1 species